GCCCCUUGGUAGUCCCUCCCUCUCUUUCAGGUUGCUGCUGCUGAUGGCGAUGAUAGAAAUGGUAGCUCUAGUCCCAUGUAGUCGUUGUCCUGGAUCGGAGUGGUGAAAUUGCUAGCCUAGUUUCCUUUCUGCAGGGUCCUCUGCUCGGACCGCCCUCUGUUGCUUCGUGCUUUAUGUUUUAAUUCAGUCUCUGUCGUAUGUACCUAGUGUCGUGCCCGUGGCUGUUUUAAGAAUCCUGCCCCAGAUCUCAAUAUAUAUGGUGUUGAAAGGAAGAAAAUCAUCUUGAUACAUGCUUGUUCGAUCCUGUCACUCUGAAAUGUUUCUCUGUUUCACUCUGUUGCUGCAAUGUCGCUCUGUCCUGUGAUGCCAGGUUUCUGAAUGUUUGUUGUGGAGCCCUACAGUCUUGAUAUUUUGCUGAAAAUCUGAGUAAUCCCAUGGCUUCUGUUUCUUGAUUUUCUGAAUAAGAUGUUUGUGGUGUAACGAUGGGGUCUUGAUGUUUUGUUGAAAUCUGAGUGAUCCCACAAGCGGUCGAUGGAUAAGAUUGUACAGUCUUGGUUAUCUUUUUGGGAAUUUAUCUGUCGCUUUUGGUUCUGCUAACAACUCUCCGAUCUUGUCUUUUGCUGGCUUGUUGGUUCUUCUCUUCCUAGUAUCAACAUCAUGGCUCUAUCUAGUGAUGUGAAGUUUGUAAAAGAUCUUUACAUGACGUCUUCUGCUGAAAGUUGUUUUGUCACCUGCCUCCAAUUCCGUUUGUUACAUCAUUUUUGUGGUCCGAGCGUGACAUCAGUCUGACUACUCUUUGGCAGCAAUGGUCGUCUGACAUCACGGAAUGUUGUCAAGAUGCAGCACUAGCUACUCCUGUGGAGAUGUUUACGGAUAAGAUCCUACUGCUGGAUAUGAUUCUCUUGCUGCUGCUGGGUGAUCCCUUUUUGUCUUGUGCCAGCGAUUGUUCGAGAUGCUCUACUCCAGUUUGUGUGCUUGCUGCAAUUCGUUCCUGCAUCUGUUUAGGUCUUCUCAAAGUUUGGAUCGGAUGUCUUGGUGUGCCUGUGUUUUGGUUUUGGAGCAACUCUCCCUCUUGCUAGAUCUGAUGGGGGCAGCGCUCUGAUUCCUUGCUUUGGCAGCAACAGCUGGAGAUUUUGAUGCUGGGAAAAUGCACAACUAUAUCUGAUGUGACUCACUGAGAUUUCAGGAAGACAAGUCUCUGCCAGCAGCGAUUCGGGUUCGGACCUGUCCAUCCUUUUGGAGUUGCUGUUUCAGCAAUUUGUUUGAUCUGGAAGCUGGCAUGAGGUUCUCUAUGCUUACCUAGUUUGACUGUUGUUCUUUUGGUGAUGUACUGUGCUGUGCUUGCUCUUCAGUGACAGUGAGCUAACUCUUUGUUUCAGAAUGAUAAAAACACAUUAAGAGGCAAAACAUAAUUUCAAGCGUAGAAAAUACACUGGGACGCAAUUCAUAGAAGAAUAUCAAGCGUAGAUAUUGAAAUGCACCCAUUGCUUUGCUUGAAAAAUGAUUCUAUUAGUGAUUUUUUGUGGUGGAACCCUGAAGUGUCUUUGUAUUUGUUUCAAGUCCGAAUUAUUUAUUACGCAUCAUCUCCCUCGAUUGUUCUCAUUUGCAUAUCAUCUCCCAUGAUUGAUCUCAUUUCUCCAUUAUCUGAAUCUUUAGUCAGUACAUUGUCUCAUUCUCCUUCUAGAUGCGAUUCCUUCUUGUUCUGCUUGGUCACAUGUGGGGAGUGCUUUUUGCCGCUUGUGUUAUGUCCCUCUCUCAGGCUUGGAACGGCAGAGAUCUCUACAUGCAAUUCCUCCUGAUUGUACGGGAUGAGAAGGGCAAAGUUGCUCAUAAAUCUCUGACCAUCGACCAAGGAAGCAUAAAAAAAUAAAUAGAUAAGGACUUAGAGCCACCACAAAUAAAACACUGAUUGUUAACAAAUCCUAAAAAACCAAGUGAACACACGAUCAAAUCAGAUCCUAAACCAUGAGACCGGUUAAUAUGAUUAAGCAGCCCACCCACUCUAGCAACUUAUCAAAGGAAACUGGCUAUGAAUUAGUGUAAAUCGCAAACUCCCAAGACCUUCAUACUGGCAUAUGGUGGUGGUGGGAGUGGGAUGAUGCUUUGGUUGUUGUGUUAGUGAAGACGUGCACGUACUCGCAUUGCAGGUGAAGAGGGACACAUACACCAUUUAAAGACUAUGGUAGAUGGGUAUUUAAAGCAUUGCAGCGCCACCAGUUGAUUGGGAUUUGGUUUUGCUUGGGAGUAGUUUUCAUGAUGUGCUUUCCCUAUUAUGUGCUCUCUGCGUUUUUUUAAAAAUUUUUGUCUUCAGGAUUUUAGAUCUCAACAUCAGCUAUAAAAAAUGUUGAAAGGAAAUGGUACUAGACUCGGUUGUCUUCCUUCGUGUUAACCUUGCUCCUGGACGCGUUCUCUGUCAACUUGCGGAUUGCUCGGUGCUCUGCGGUGUUUUGCGGAAGUUUCUGAAUUUUUUGAGUAACAUUAUGAUGCCUGUCAGUAACCUUGCCUUAUCAGCUGAUGGAUAAGAUCAUGCGGAAUCUCCACGUGCUACUUCUAAGAAUCCUACCGAGAUCUCAGUAUAUAUGGUGUUGAAAAGAAAGAAAUGGGCAUCGAUACAUGCUUGUUUAAUCCUGUCCCUUUCAAAAAUUUCCGUGCUUAACACCCUUGCUGGGAUGGUGCGUUGUCCGAUGAUGAGAAGUGUCUGAAUGUUUCUGGGGCAACCGGGAUGUUUGGUUCAAGUCUGAAUGAUCCCGUGUAAAAAAAAUAAUCUGUUUUGUUGAUUGUCUGAAUCUAAAUCAUAUGAUGUAUAAGAUUGUUCUGUCUUGAUUCUAGUUCUGUAUCCGGUUCGUCCUGUGAAUUGUGAUCUGUAGUGCUGUUUACCAUUUGCCAUCUUGCUGUGGGGCAGCAAAUGUUUGGGAAUAUUCAGUAUUCUUGUCAUGUGUUUGUCUGUCAGCAGGUUGAUCUUGCUUGGUUCUGCCAAGUUUUUUGGGCCUUUUUUUUAUAGCUUUUGGAUCUGUCGAGUACUUUGAGGUUUUUGUCUUUUCUUUGUUUGUGGUUGUAGAGUAAAGGCCAUAGCCCGACUUUAUAAAUAAAGCCACACGGCAGCGUCACAGACCCGAACAAGAACGAAACCAACAGGCGAAACAUCGCAGUACACCGAACAGAAGUUUCGGACGAGCAAACGAAAUAGAUGGGUACAGGCAACCUGCCAUACACGGCGCGCAGGCCGGGAGGUAGAAGACUAGAAACAAACUACGAUAACAGCGACACCCUGAUUAGACGACGGGGUCCAACCCGGAGAUGUGGAUGCCGAAGCCCGGAUUUUGGCGAUGAGCAAGUCCAGGGCAUCCCGAUCUUCAUCCUUAGUCAAUGAUCUCCACUGCUGCAAUAGUAUACAUGAUUUGAAAAGAACGUCAGCCGGCUUAGACGGGAAGAUAUGUUCAAUAGUAAAUUUAUUCCUAAUAGUCCAAAGAGCCCAGCAUAAGGCACCCAGGCCGACCCAGAACACCCUCUUGGUAACCCCAACGAAAACUUUGGCUAGGUUUCUAAGCUCAGAGAAUGAGGAAGGGUUCCAAGAAACCUGGAGCCAAGAUCUGACACAACUCCAAACCAACUUAGCCAGCACGCAAUGAAAAAAAAUGCGUUCCGAGUUUUCCAAGGCACCACAUAAAUGACAGAACUCCGAGCCUGGCCCAUUGCGCUUUUUAAUCUGGUCGGCCGCCGGGAGGCGGCCACGAAAAGCUUGCCAAAGGAAGAUUUUAAUCUUAGGAGGGACUUUGGAAUUCCAGACACAAGAAAAUCUGCUCGAAGGGGUACCACCGAUAAGCCUAGAGUACAACGACUUAACCGAAAACCUGCCAGAGGCCGAAUGAGGCCAAACCACAGUGUCAGAAGACUCCGAGAGCACAGGGAAAAGGGCAGAGAGACUUUGCCAGUCUUCCAACUCUUCAGGAGACAGGGAACGACGAAAAGCCAGAUCCCAGUUAUUAGCCGCCACCUCCGCGAUGGAGAUAUCAGGUUUAGGGCAAUAAGAGAACAAAACCGGAAAACUAACAGCUAGGGGGGCAUCCCAGACCACCAGUCCAGUGAUGUGAGCCGUUGUAUCAAGUGAUGUGAGCUUCUAAAAUUUCUCUCUUCUUUAUAUGACGUUUUCUGAAAGAUUUGAGUUGUUUGUAAGGGACUGAAAGUGCCUCCAAUUAUGAACAAUUUGGUGCUUCUCCGUUGCACCUGGAGUUGGAUACAUCUUUGUGUGAUUCGGGCGUGAUAUUACAAGAUGUUGGGAAGAUGCAGUACUUCAAUAUUGUGGGGAAGAUGUCUGACUGGAUACGAUUAUGUUGCUGAUUCUGGGUGAUCCUUUUUUCCUUGUCUGCCUGCGAUUGUUGGAGUAGCCCAAUCUGUUCAUUCCUGGUGACGUGACGUGAGGUCUUCUGAAAGUUUGGGGUGACAGUCCAAGUCUUCAACCUUGCUAGAUUUGAUGGGGCAAAAAGUUGGAGAUUCUCUUCGCCCUCCACCUGGUUUUUCUGUUGCGUCUGCGGGGCGGCUGCGGUGCUCCCGUCUCGGGAGGUGGCGCGCGGCUGGUCUCUUGCUGGAUCCGGCCGGAUCUGGCGUUGGGGGCCGGCCGGCUGCGCGUGGCUUCGGUGGUGCGUGCCUGACGGCUCCGGCGCUUGGAGCUCGCCGGGCGACGCGGGUAGGGCAGCGGCCGGGCAUGGCCGUUGCUCCGGCCAUGGGCGGCAGCGUGCGGAGGUCCGGCGGUGUUGGCCUCCCGGUGUUGUGGUGGCUUCACGGUGGCUCGACGGAUCUGCCCACGACAACGUCCGGCUUCUCCGGCGUCGGCUCGUCUGCGUUCGGACCGUCUCGACCUUCGCCUCAUCUCCUCGUUGCCCAGGCGCUACUCCCAUCAAAGGGCUGGUCCUCUCCCAGUUGCGGUCCACCGCUCGUCUCGCGCCCGAUGCUGCAAUACCGAGCUUGUCUCGCGCACGGUGCAGCAGGACCGAGCUCGUCUCGCGCACGGUGUAGCAGGACUGACCUCGUCCCUCUCUCGGUGCUGCAGGACUGAGCUCGUCUCGCGCUCGGGGCAGCAGGACGGAUCGGUGGAUGCCAGUUCUGGCCGGCCUAUUGGGUCUCGACGCUGGGGUCGCCGAGAAGAGUUGUGUCUUAAAGUAAAGAUGAGGAUGUGGAAAUCUACACACACUUGUCUUUCAGGCCAAGUCCACCAGGGAUUUCCAAGGGGUGCGAAAGGUGGGACCUUUCUGCUCGUCUCUUUCGUUGGGGUUGCGGCGGGUCUCGGGUGAGUUGGAGUCAAGGUCUUGGAUGCUAGAGCGGCAGCCCUGGUGGUGGUAACGCGGUGCUCUUGGGUAGAGCCCGUGCCUUGCUACUGCCCGGUCACCAUGACCCUGUGGGGGGCGUGGUCCCAUGAUUGAGCUCACUUGUCUAUCACCUCCCACGAUUGUUCUCAUUUGUUCACAUCGGAAUCUUAAUUAAGUUGAUGGAUAAGUUUCUACAUUGUCUUAUUCUCUUUCUGGAUCCGAUUUCUUGUUGUGAUCCACACUGCUUUUGACCAUUAUUUUGGCUUGGCAGCAAUUGUUGGAGGUGUCAGACAAAUUCAGUGUUAUGGCCAUCCUCUGAUAGCAGUUGCUCUUGGUCAUGUUAUGUCUUUUUGGGGAUUUUGCCUAUUUGCCAGCAGUUGCUUUUGGUCAUGUUAGUUCUUUGGGACUUUGUAUUUUAUCGGUAGUUGGGAUCUUGGAUCUCAAUAUCUUCUUUCAAACUGUUGAAGGAAUGGUAUAAGGCUAAUAGUUGUCUUGCUUCAGUGUUAAUCCCGCUUAUGUGACUGAUCGGUGCUCUGCACCGUCAUGCGAAAGUUUCUGAAUUUUCGGAACGACACUCUGAGGUAUCUGUUAGUAACAGACCCCUUGCAGUUGAUGGAUAAGAUCACGCGGCGUCGUCCAUGUGAUUGUUCAGACUGAAUCUUAAUCAAUUGAAGGUGAUGCUCUACUAUUUUUUCACUUGUGGGAUGCACCGCUGGAUAAAAAAGAAGGUGGUGAGAGUUAUCCGCAAGUUUCUUUCAUGAAUUUAUUUCUGAAUGUUCCAGAUCUGAAGCAUCUCUAUGUGAGUAUGACAACCCGAUCUUGAAAGGUUCGGAAAUCUGUGUCUGAGUUAAGGAACAAGAAGGUGAGAAAGAGACACAGAGAGGCGAGAUUCAGAAUGUCACUUUCUCAUUCUUGCCCGUUGUAAUAAAUGGUACUGAGAUUUCGUUUGGAACUUGGUUCAGUUCUUCAUGGAGUCUACAUCGACUUCAGAAAUGGCCCUUGGUGCACAUGGCAUAACGAUCCAACGAUCUCAAUCAAGGUUGCCCGUGCCUUCAUUGCUUAUAUAUCCAUGCCUCCAACGCCUAGUAUUGCCGAGUUCCAACUCCAAACACUUGCGACUAUUUUGAGGUUGCCAUCUUAGAAUGAACUCGCUGGAUGAUAGUCUUACCAGCAACAAACAGAAGUACAAAAUUAAAAAAUAGAAAAAAACAUAGAACCAAUACAAACAAGACAGAAUUGUGAACAAAUCCUAAAAGCCCAAAUGAACAUGCGAUCAACUAAACCAUGAGACCAAUCAAUACGGCUAGGCAACCAGCUACUGUAGCAACAUAUCAAAUCAAACUUGCUAUGAACUGGUGUGAUUCGCAAAAUCCCAAGACCUUUAUAUUGGCAUAUGGUGGUGGUGGGAGUGGGAUAAUGCUCUGGUUGUUGUGCUAGUGAAUGCAUGCAUAUACUCACGUUGAAAGCGAAGAGGGACAUGGUCACCAUUUAAAGGCUGUAAGACAAUAGGCUUUGGGGGGAACCGGCACAACCCUCUAGGGGUGGCCUAUCACAUAUAUAUAUAAUGAGGUGGUAUACAACGUUACAAUAUACACAUGUAAAUACAGUCUAACACCCUCCCUCAAUCUUAGCCACUUUCUAAUGAAUCUAGAAGGGUAAGAUUGCGCCUGCAAGUCUCAAACUGUGGCAAAGGCAAUGGCUUGGUGAAGAUGUCAGCAAGUUGAUCCUUGGAAGAAAUAAACUUGAUCUGUAGUUGCUUCUGAGAGACACGCGCACGCACAAAGUGAUAGUCAACUUCAAUGUGUUUCGUUCGGGCAUGGAAUACCGGAUUUGCAGAAAGGUAUGUAGCACCGAUGUUAUCACACCAAAGAACAGGAGGCUGUGAUUGGGGUAUACUUAACUCCUGAAGCAAGGACUGUACCCAGAUAAUCUCUGAUGUGGCAUUGGCCACAGCCUUAUACUCAGCCUCAGUACUGCUACGCGAGACAGUAGCCUGUUUCCGAGCACUCCAGGCAAUCAGGUUAGAGCCAAAGAAGACAGCAUAACCCCCCGUGGAUCGCCUGUCAUCCGGAUUGCCAGCCCAGUCUGCAUCAGAAUAUGCUGAAAGACAACCAGAGUCAGACGGUCGAAUAUGCAAACCAUGAGCCACCGUGAAACGAAUAUAGCGCAAAAUCCGCUUAACAGCAGACCAAUGAGUGUCACGGGGUGACUGCAGAUACUGGCAGACUCAGUUAACAGCAUAGGAAAUGUCUGGUCGCGUGAUCGUCAAGUACUGGAGCCCACCAACAAUACUCCGGUACUCGGUCGCAUCAGAAGAAGAAAGAAGCACACCAUCAACAGCAUUGAGCUUAUCAGUGGUAGACAUGGGUGUAGUCGUCAGUUUGCACUUAAGCAUCCCAGCUCGCUGCAACAAAUCCAGAGAGUACUUCUUCUGCGUCAUAACAAGGCCAGCAGCACGAGAAGUAACCUCCACACCAAGAAAGUAAUGAAGCUUCCCAAGGUCCUUGACCGCAAAAUCAGCACCAAGUGAGCGAACAAGCGCAGUAGCAGUCGACUGAGAGGAGCUGACCAAAAUGAUAUCAUCUACAUAGACCAACAAGUACAUAGUAACCUCAGGCCUUUGAAGAAGAAACAAUGAGGAGUCAGCAGUUGAUGAUGCAAAACCAUGAGCACGAAGAGCCAUUGCAAGACGAGCAUGCCAAGCACGAGGAGCCUGCUUCAGACCAUAAAUUGCCUUGGACAGACGACAGAGAUGAUCAGGGCAAUCCGGAUCAGAGAAACCCGGAGGCUGGCGCAUGUAAACCUCCUCCGCCAAGACACCAUGAAGAAAAGCAUUUUGAACAUCAAGCUGACGAAGAAACCAACCUCGAGUAACAGCCAGAGAGAGAAGAAGUCUGAUGGUAGUAGGCUUGACCACUGGACUGAAGGUGUCUUCAUAGUCAAGUCCAAAACGCUGUCGAAAACCACGAGCAACCAGACGAGCCUUAUAGCGCUCAAUGGACCCAUCAGAAUGCCUCUUCACUUUGAAAACCCAUUUGGAAUCAAUGACAUUUACCCGUGAUUGUGGAGGAACAAGAGUCCAUGUCUGAUUGCGAAGAAGCGCUUGAUACUCCUGCUCCAUGGCCUCUCUCCAAUGAGGAAUGCGCAUAGCAGCUUGAUACGUGCGUGGCUCAGAGGAUGGAUCUGUGAGAGCAGCAGACAUGCACGCCGCUAACCAAGCAACUGUGCCAUCGUGACGUUGCUUAGGCUGAAAAAUGCCACUCCGACUGCGCGUAUGUGGACGUAGAGCAGCAGCAGGAGCCGGCGGAGGCGAAGGUGACGGAGACGUGACGGUCGCCGGAGAUGCAGGAAUCACCUCAGGCGAGCUCGGGACAGACGACUCCGGGCUGCAUGGCGAAGACUGGCCCGACGACAGGGGCUCAGAGGCCAUGGGCGAACCGAGGGUGGGCGAGGCCAGCUCCGGUGACACCGGCCCAGACGGCCUUGGCGAGGCGAGAGCAGGCGAGGCCGGCCCUGGUGAGAAGGGCCCAGACACCCUGGGCGAGGCAGGGGCGGGCGAGGCCAGACCUGGUGAUGACUGCCCCGACGCCCUGGGCGAGACGGGGACCGAGGAGGCCGGCCCAGUCGGCGGGGUUGCAGGGCGCGACGAUGGCGAAGGCAGCCCAGAAGCCAGAGGCGACCGGGCCAGGACGUCGAUCGGCCGUGCAUGAGCACGGAAACCGAGGCCAUGCAGGGGCGCCAUGUGCUCCUCAUGCACAACAGAAGGUGCCGAGGAUGAAGGCGAUGGCGACGAAGAGGAAGAUGGCGCUUCCAGAAUCUCCAAACGAGCCCCACGACCAGUGCCUGCACCAUGGUUAGGCAACAAUAGAGGAGAAUAUGCAACAUCAUCAAAUUGGUCAGAAGCAACAGAGGAUGAAUGCAUGACAGGUGGCUCGGUAGUGGACACAGGGAGUUUGGCAAAGGGAAAAACAUGCUCAUCAAACACAACAUCCCGAGAGAUGUAGACACGAUUAGUGGGAACAUGAAGACAUUUGUAUCCUUUAUGAAGAGAGCUAUAACCAAGAAAAACACACUUCUUGGAACGAAACUCGAGCUUACGCUUGUUAUAUGGACGGAGAUGGGGCCAGCAAGCACACCCAAACACCUUGAGAAAGGUGUAAUCCGGUUGUUCAUUAAGGAGAACUUCAAUGGGAGUCUUCAUAUUCAAAACACGAGUGGGAGUACGAUUGAUGAGAAAACAUGCAGUGGUGAAAGCAUCACUCCAAAAACGAAACGGAACAGAUGCAUGGGCCAAAAGAGUCAGACCAGCUUCAACAAUGUGACGAUGCUUACGUUCUACUGAACCAUUCUGCUGAUGUGUAUGUGGACAUGCUAAACGGUGAGUGAUCCCAAGCGACUGAAAGAAGGAGUUGAGGUUGCGAUACUCGCCACCCCAGUCCGACUGAACAUGAACAAUUUUGUGCUUGAGAAGGCGUUCAACAUGUUUUUGGAACUGAACAAAAAUGUCAAACACAUCAGAUUUACGUUUGAUAAGAUAAAGCCAGGUAAAGCGGCUGUAAGCAUCAACAAAACUGAUAUAAUAAUUAUGACCACUAACAGAAGUCUGAGCAGGGCCCCAUACAUCUGAAAACACAAGUUCUAAAAGAUGUUUCACCUCACGACUGGACUCCGAAAAAGGAAGUUGAUGACUCUUCCCCUGCUGACAAGCAUCACACACUGCUACAUCUUUAUUACUAGACACACUAGGAAGCUCAUGACGACACAAAACAUGCCGGACAAUAGGUGUGGCCGGGUGACCAAGACGAGCAUGCCACUGUGAUGGAGAUACCCGAACUCCACUGAAGACGCGAGCGACGCCAGGAUGCUCCAGACGAUAGAGACCUUGGCAGAGCCGCCCACUAAGAAGAAUGUCCCUCGUGCCCCGAUCCUUAAUAAAAAGAUCAAAAGGAUGAAAUUCACAAAGCACAUUAUUAUCACGAGUGAGUUUAGGAACUGAAAGAAGAUUACGUGUCACAGAUGGAACUCGAAGAACAUUGCGAAGUUGAAGACUCCUAUUGGCAUGUCUAGUGAGAAGUGAUGCUUGACCAAUAUGAGAGAUGUGCAUACCUGCUCCAUUGGCGGUGUGGAUCUUGUCGGAGCCAUGGUAGGGUUCACGAGUGUGAAGCUUCCCCAUCUCACUGGUCAGGUGCUCUGUCGCCCCAGAGUCCAUGUACCAGUGGGGAUCAAUGGAGUAGGACUGAGUGUGUCCCUGUGGCUUCUGCGGCGGUGGACGAUCAGCCAUGGCGACCUGACGAGCAAAGUUGCGUGUAUCCUUCCCGUCAUUGCCAAGACCAAGAAAACCCCGCUGGAAGCGCUUGUGACACUUCGAGGCCCAGUGCCCAUCGCGACCACAAAGCUGGCACACACGUGGACCGCCAGCCCCUGGUAGCGUCGCAGUAGGAGGAGGGGCCGAGGCGGGUGGUGGUGACUGCCCCGAAGGAGCCCUGGAUGAAGCAGAGGAGCGACCACCCUUGGUGGCGGCGUUUGCCGAGAGGGCGCCGUUGCCCCUGGAUCGGCGCGUCUCGACUCGUUGCUCAGUAAGCAGGAGGCGUGAAAAGACCUCGUGUGCUGGCAUGGGCGUGGAGUUGCCCCUCUCAUUGAUGAUCUCGACUAGGGCGUCAUACUCCUCAUCAAGACCAUUGACGAUAAACGAGUUGAACUCGGAGUCGGUGAGGGGCUGUCCAAUGGAGGCCAGCGUGUCGGCGAGACUCUUGACUUUGUUGUAGAACUCAGUGGCGGUGGAGUCAAGCUUCUGACAUUCCCCAAGUUGGCGACGGAGCCCAGAUACACGAGCCUGCGACUGUGCCGCAAACGAGCGCUCAAGAAUAGUCCAUGCCUCGUGGGACGUCUUGGCGAAGACAACAAGCCCAGCAACGGCCGGAGAGAGCGACCCCUGGAUGGAGGAGAGGUUCGCCUGAUCCUGCCCUGUCCAGACACGGUGAGCCGGAUUAUAGACCGGACCAUGCACGCUGUCAACCAGCGCAGGAGGGCAAGGGAGAGAGCCGUCGACAUAGCCAAGCAGGUAGUGACUCCCAAGAAGCGGAAGAACCUGCGCGCGCCAGAAGAUGUAAUUAUCCGACGACAACUUGAUGGUGAUGAGAUGGCCGAAGUGAAACGGCGGCGGCGGCUGCGAUCCCAUCGAGGAGACUGGCUGAGGUGAGAACACCGUGGAGACAGUCGGAGGGGCAGCCGGCGCGGUGACAGAGGGCGCGAUGGCCGCGGUUGACGGGGCGGCGGUGGUGUGGGCCACAAGCGCCUGCCCGGGCGAAGUAGCAGCCGGCGGGAGCGCGAAGAGGGAGCCGACGCUCCGUGUCCCGAUCGGCGCCUGAAGGGAGGCGGCAUCCAGCGGCCUCGAGAGAAGUGCCGCGAGGGAGGCCGGCAGAAAACCGGUGGCGGUGGAGUCGGACGCAGCGGCGGACGUCAUAGCAGUCGGGCGACGGCGGCGGCGGCGGCGGCGGUUUAGGGUUUUUAGGCGGAAGCGGACGUAACCUAGUGUGAUAUCAUGUAAGACAAUAGGCUUUGGGGGGAACCGGCACAACCCUCUAGGGGUGGCCUAUCACACAUAUAUAUAAUGAGGUGGUAUACAAUGUUACAAUAUACACAUGUAAAUACAGUCUAACAAAGGCUCAGGGUGAUUUGUAUUUAAAGCCCUGCAUCGUCAACAAAUUAAUUGCGAUUUGGUUAUGCUUGGCGUUGUCCGGAGUUUUCAUUUCCCUACGGCGUGUUUCAUCAAAUUGGAAGGUUAGUUUUGGCCUAUGGGAGUCCCAUGUUUACAUCCGUUCGGAGUGGUGGAGUUGUCCUGGAUCGGAGCGGUGAAGUUGCUAGCCUAGUCUUCUUUCUGUAGGGUCCUGUGCUCGGACCACCCUUUGUUGCUUCGUUUUUAUGUUUUAAUUAAUUCAGUCUCUAUCGAAUGUACCUACUGUCGUGCCUGUGGCUGUUUUAAGAAUC
rnacentral:lncRNA from 1 species